UCGAGAAUCUUCCGCAAUGGACGAAAGUCUGACGGAGCGACGCCGCGUGAAGGAUGAAGUGCUUCGGCAUGUAAACUUCUUUUGUGAGGGAGAAAGUUUAUUGAUAGUACCUCAAGAAUAAGGGGCUCCAAACUCUGUGCCAGCAGGAGCGGUAAUACAGAGGCCCCGAGCGUUAUCCGGAAUUAUUGGGCGUAAAGGGUGUGUAGGUGGUUGUGUUAGUCUCUCGUUAAAUUCUUCGGCUUAACCGGGGGCAUGCGAGGGAAACGGCACGACUUGAGUGUGUGAGAGGUUUGCGGAACUCAUGGAGUAGGGGUGAAAUCCGUUGAUAUCAUGGGGAACACCAAAGGCGAAGGCAGCAAACUGGCGCAUUACUGACACUGAAACACGAAAGCGUGGGUAG
rnacentral:rRNA from 1 species